GUGACAGCAAUCAACUGAGGUAUCUCGAUGCCAAUUAAAUGGGUUUUGCAUUGGCAACCAAAUGCAGGCACCAGCUUCAGCAGUCAAAUCUUAAGCGAAGUUGCGUAGUGUGUUGAGAGCAUCAACGGGGUUAAAGAAGGACGUUGGCAAGCUACUCUUACAUUCUACAAACCCAUUUUACGAAGUUUUUUCUUCACCUUUUCCUUUUAGUGUUUUAUUGAUUUAUUAUUUAAAUUUCUAAAUUCUCAUAAUUUAAGUUACAAACAGACCAGUCUCUAGCGGGGGAAUUCCCCGUUAGACUCUCUGGGGAUUUCAGUUCCAGAGCAGCCAAACAAGUAUUAUUUCAUAAUACGGGCUCAGCGGAUCGUUAUGGAGGCUGAUUCCUCCAUUCAAAAUAUAAUGGAGAAGUUACAGUCUUACAAAAUAAGAGUGGCUCUCAAUUUUUAUUGUAGGUUGUUGUAGCGUAUGAUCGUUUAUGUAGGGAUUUUAAUAUCAACUGGGUGACUUCCAAUUGAGAAUGAGAAAACUUGUGCCCGCUCAUUCCGAAAAUUUGAGAGGUGGAGUACCUUCCCAUUUCUUCAAUUGAAAAUCCAGACAAAGUAUGGAAGAGUUUCUAGACAAAUGGCGAGAAGCACUGUCAAAAAGAUCAUUACCGGCCCAGUUUAUGCAUGUGGAACCUAAUUUUACUGAGUAUGGCCUCCCAGACCGUUAUACAGCACAGCACACAGCAGUUCAGUAUGCUACUGUAAUGGCUUAACUGAUUGCAUCUGUGCAAAGUGGGCAGGCAGUGAGAAAUUAAUUUUCUUGUUCAGCUGUGAUGGAGCCAGAACCUUCUGACAAACCAAAAGCCCCCAGAAAGAUGAAAUUUGCACCAAAAGCUCCGCCUCUGCGUUUACCAAAGGCUGAGGUUAAAUCUGAAGUUGGUAAUGCUGAGAAUGCCAGUGCCCAGGCCAGGGAUUUGCUGCGACGUUUCAAUGAAAAUCAAGGUAACAUGAAGGCAAAGCCAAAAUUUGAAAAAAAAGUUGCAGCUUCACAAAUUGCGUUUGGUCAAGGGGGUGCAUCAACUUCUAUAAAAUCUUAUGGUGUUUCCAAAGGUGGGGCUACCAGUAACAGAACUGGGCUGAAUGGUCUAAGGGAGGAAAAAGAAUACCAAGAACCAUGGGACUAUUACAGUAAUUAUCCUGUAACUCUUCCCCUGAGGAGACCAUAUUCAGGAAGUCAAGAGCUUCUUGAUGAAGAGGAAUUUGGAGAGGCUUCAGAAACCAUGGAUUAUGAUGAAAGUUCAAUAAAGCCGGCAGAAGAGCUCAGUCUAAUGGAGGAAAAUCUGGAACCAAGCAUUUUUUUUCUUCAGUUACCACAGACAUUGCCUAUGAAAAAGCGAUCAACAACAGGAGAUGGCCAGGAUGCAGCUGGAAGCUCAAAGCCACAUGGGCAUACAAGAACAAUGGAGAAGACAUGUAGUUUAGAUGAGUUACCAGCAGGUUUUAUGGGUAAAAUGCUAGUAUACAAGAGUGGUACUGUCAAGCUCAAGCUGGGUGAAACCCUUUAUGAUGUGAGUAUUCUCAACAAUGAUGCUAAGGAAUGCACAAGAAAAUUCGUUUUACUAAAAGCAUGUUACCCCAGGUUUGGAUUGUACGUUUGCCCAGGAUGUUGUAGCAAUUAAUAAGGCAGAGAAGCAUUGCUGCAUUGUUGGGGAGCUCAACAAGCGUGCCGUACUGACUCCAGAUGUGGAUUCUGUUUUAAGUGGUUUUGCUGAUUCAUAAUGAAGCUUGUAGCAAUUGCCUGCAACUCCCUGCUGCUUUAUCUGCCACUCCAGCCAUUUGGGUUUCCACCAAAUGGAGUAGAAAACUCUUGCAACUCCGUACACCAGAAGAGGCAACGAAGACAGCCAAAAGAAAUAUAAGAUUAAGUUUCCCAUUCUUGUUUUCUUUGAAUUCAAAAUCUCAACUCAGUUGUUAUUAAUGAUUGUUCAAAGUUUAUAUGUACGUAUACAUACACAUACAAACUUUUGACCAUCUUUAGAAACUACGAGUGUAUGAGAUGUUUGACUGCAAAUCUUUGGUUGAGUUUUCUUUUGA